rnacentral:rRNA from 1 species
GCGCAACGACGUGCCGGAAGCGGCGUUAUGCUGGUGUGUGGGAGGUGUUUCCGGGAGUGUUGGGGGUCAAGUGGGCGGAGGCGGUUCUUGUAGGCGGGUGGGUAAACCCGAGGCUCAACUGCUGGUCGCACUGGAAACGGGGGGACUUGAGUGCAGAAGAGGAGAGUGGAAUUCCACGUGUAGCGGUGAAAUGCGUAGAUAUGUGGAGGAACACCAGUGGCGAAGGCGACUCUCUGGGCUGUAACUGACGCUGAGGCGCGAAAGCGUGGGGAGCAAACAGGAUUAGAUACCCGUGUAGUC